AGUUCUUCAUAGGACAUCAUAGGAACUUCUUCCAAAAGAUAAGCCAAAAAAAAGCGAGCAGGUUGAGACAGUAGUGAAUGAGGUGGAGAGGGCAGAACAGCCAGAGAGUCAAAGUGCAGCAGCAGCAGAGUCAGCCACAGAUGAGCCAAGGAGGAUAACAGAUGAGAACAACAGGCCAGUGGAGCACUUAGAACAGCAGCAGCCAGGGGAAACUGGUAGGGAAGAGGAUGCUUUAGGUGACCCAGACAUAGGCCUAAAACAAGUUAAGCUACCCCAGUAUCCCCUUGACCGUUUUGGAUUGAACAACUAAAGAGAUGCACCAGACAAGACACAUAUACGCAGCAACAGAAGAGUAAAUGAUGGAGAGACACAAGACAAGACACAAAGAUAGCAACAGAAGAGUAGGAUAUGAUCGAGAGAGACACCAGACAAGACACAUAUAGGUAGCAACAGAAGAGUAAAUGAGGGAGAGACACGAGGCAAGACGCAGAGAUAGCAAACUAAGAAUAGGAUAUGAUGGAGCGAGACACCAGAAGAACGGAACAGGCCAUAACAGAAGAAGGAAGACAAAGAAGACAUUAACAAACAAGAACCUGAGACAGCAAUGGACAAGACACAGAUAAAGUGACAAGAGGGCAGAUGAAGAGAGAACAGAGAACAAAUAACUUCAACAGAGUGGAGGGAGAUGGUAAAUCAGUGGAACGUGAAUGGGAAAACGUCUAUCACAGAUGGUGGUCCUACACUGCCCUCUAGUGUUUUACAGAACAGACAUCUGCUUUACUUCUCAAGAUAAUCCCUUGUUAUACAGUAUAUUAAAGGAUACAGUCCAUGUUUGCCUGUGUAUACAAUACUUUUUUUUUUUAACUAGUAGCAUGUAAUUUAAUGUGUUCCUCCCUUCAUAAGUUUACAUUCCAAACCAAAUGUGGAGUUACGCUUCGAACACACCGACCAUGUCUUUGCAUUGUGUUACACCAGAAUUACAUUAGUUUCCAAUGAAACGCUGCGUUUGCCUUGCAGCAUUGCGUUGCAGAGGCAGUUGCAGUGCGUUCGGUGUGGUGCGUACGUUGGAUUUAUCGAACGUAUGCGUCAAACUGUAUGCGUAAACGACUUGACAGAAAUGGUAGCAGAGGGUGAAUGUUGAACUUUUGUUGCAUACAUAUCCAGAUGAUACUGUGUGCUAAUCAAAUCCAAUCAAAUUGUAUUUGUCACAUACACAUGGUUAGCAGAUGUUAAUGCGAGUGUAGCGAAAUGCUUGUGCUUCUAGUUCCGACAAUGCAGUAAUAACCAACACGUAAUCAAGCUAACAAUUCCAAAACUACUACCUUAUAGACACAAGUGUAAGGGGAUAAAGAAUAUGUACAUAAAGAUAUAUGAAUGAGUGAUGGUACAGAGCGGCAUAGGCAAGAUACAGUAGAUGGUAUUGAGUACAGUAUAUACAUAUGAGAUGAGUAUGUAAACAAAGUGGCAUAGUUAAAGUGGCUAGUGAUACAUGUAUUACAUAAAGAUGCAGUAGAUAAUAUAGAGUACAGGAUAUACGUAUACAUAUGAGAUGAAUAAUGUAGGGUAUGUAAACAUUAUAUUAGGUAGCAUUGUUUAAAGUGGUUAGUGAUAUAUUUUAAAUCAUUUCCCAUCAAUUCCCAUUAUUAAAGUGGCUGGAGUUGAGUCAGUGUGUUGGCAGCAGCCACUCAAUGUUAGUGGUGGCUGUUUAACAGUCUGAUGGCCUUGAGAUAGAAGCUGUUUUUCAGUCUCUCUGUCCCUGCUUUGAUGCACCUGUACUGACCUCGCCUUCUGGAUGAUAGCGGGGUGAACAGGCAGUGGCUCAGGUGGUUGUUGUCCUUGAUGAUCUUUAUGGCCUUCCUGUGACAUCGGGUGGUGUAGGUGUCCUGGAGGGCAGGUAGUUUGCCCCCGGUGAUGCGUUGUGCAGACCUCACUACCCUCUGGAGAGCCUUACGGUUGUGGGCGGAGCAGUUGCCGUACCAGGCGGUGAUACAGCCCGACAGGAUGCUCUCGAUUGUGCAUCUGUAGAAGUUUGUGAGUGCUUUUGGUGACGAGCCGAAUUUCUUCAGCCUCCUGAGGUUGAAGAGGCGCUGCUGCGCCUUCUUCACGAUGCUGUCUGUGUGGGUGGACCAAUUCAGUUUGUCUGUGAUGUGUACGCCGAGGAACUUAAAACUUACUACCCUCUCCACUACUGUUCCAUCGAUGUGGAUAGGGGGGUGUUCCCUUUGCUGUUUCCUGAAGUCCACAAUCAUCUCCUUAGUUUUGUUGACGUUGAGUGUGAGGUUAUUUUCCUAACACCACACUCCGAGGGCCCUCACCUCCUCCCUGUAGGCCGUCUCGUCGUUGACAUGCCGUCUCGUCGUUGUUGAUAAUCAAGCCUACCACUGUUGUGUCGUCCGCAAACUUGAUGAUUGAGUUGGAGGCGUGCGUGGCCACCCAGUCGUGGGUGAAAAGGGAGUACAGGAGAGUGCUAUAUUGCACAAUGAUUCUGUAACCAUAAACAUCUGUAUAUGGGUGCAUAGGCAGUAAAUCAUAAUGCGGUAAUAGUUUUGUUAGGGCUGAGUUUGAAGACUCAGGGGGCCAUAUUGGCACUAGGGGGUGUACAGCUUGCAUUAACAGAAUGCCCUUGCUUGUCCUCCUGAGGCUCAGACAGCUGCCACACAAGUGGAACUUGCAGGGCUGGGAGGGUAGAUAGACAUGCAGGGCAGACUGGCAGGAUAGACAGAGAGACUGGCGUACAAUUUGCUAUCCUUCCCUCGCAGCUGCUCAAUGUUGGUGGCACCAUACAUGGGGCGCAGGGGGUUGAUGAUGUGGUUGUUCCAGCGGAACUUCAUCCCAGUCAACUCAACCAUGUCCGUCUCAGCAUCGAUGAAGAGCUUGUACUGUAGGUUUUAUUAGGUCUCAGGAGGCCACUUUAGGAAAAAGCAGAACAUUUUCAUUCAUUUAGUCAGUUUAGAUUGGGGCAGGGUCAGCCAGUUCUCCUAUGAAUAGAUCUUUUCGUUAUUCAAGUUCAACAGUCUUCCGAAAUCUAAAUGAUUUUAUGGGCUAUGAUGUUGUCACUUACAAUUAUAAGAAUGAAAUAGAAAUGAAACCAUUUAAAACAUGUGUGUGACAUAACAUCUCAACUCGUCUAUAAGCUAGUUUAUAUCAGGAGUAGUCACAUACAGUACAUGUUAACCUGAUACUGGCGGGUGUUGCCAUGCUCUUCAUACAGAGCUAUAUGUUCAUUAUCCCUGGCUGGGAUCUUCUGCCAUCGAUGGUUACAUUUGCUUUAUAGCGGUACCCAGGAAUUUGAAUACAGUGCUUUCGGAAACUAUUCAGACCCAUUGACUUUUUCCACAUUUUGUUACGUUACAGCCUUGUUCUAAAAUGGAUUAAAUAAUUAUUUACAGGCAAAGGGCUCAGCAUCUCCGGUGUUCAGGUAGAACUUCAUAUUGGAUUGUCCCCUGGGGAUGGGGAACGUGUCAACAUAGCGACCCAUAAUGGGACAUGCUUUGUCUGCACAUGGGAAACACCUCUAAAAACACACACACACAGAGAAUUAGGUGAAAUUAAGUCUUCAUGCGGUCAAGGUGUAUACAUUAAUGUUAGACAGUGGAUUUGAUAGGGCAGAGGGACCCGAAUAUAGAAGAUGACCAUAUAUACUGUAUGGUAAGGUAUAGAAAUAUCAUUUGUAGAUGUUUGUACUUGGGGCCAUAGAAUUGAGGCAUUUCAGUUUGAAAAUAAAGAUUAAAGCUUAGUAUUUAUAAACAAUUGCCAUUUGAGGCCAUUCAAGAGGAUUCAAAAGGAUAUAAAAGCAUUGGUCAGCUCAUUUUGCACCUUUCAUAAACCAUUAUAAGUCACUGAGCUGCUGUUAAUAUUCUACUCAAGGUGAAAUGUGAAAAGGGAUCUUUUAUUUUACGACCCAGCGCUUUCAACAUCUUUACGCCUACACUCCGAAGCCUCUCUGUGGGUAAUCAUCUUUUCUUAUUGCAGUUUCUCACCAAGCACAGGUGGCCAGUGGCACCUUAAUUGGGGAGGACGGGCUCAUAGUGAUGGCUGGAACAGAAUAAAUGGAAUGGUAUCCAACACAUCAAACACAUGGUUUCCAUGUGUUUGAUGCCAUUCCAUUCACCCCAUUCCAGCCAUUAUUAAGUGCCGUCCUCCCCUCAGCAGCCUCCUGUGGACUGUCAACGCCCUUGGCUUUUCGAGUGCCCCCAAGCAGAGGGAGAACCCUCUUAAGACUUUUUUCUCUCCUCUUAACUUUUAUGUGUCUUAGAUCACCACCCUAUUAAUAUGUAGAUCAGGAUGACAUCAGUUUAUAGUGUGAGAACAGCAGAGUUUAUGGCUGUCAACUGGGCGAAGGAAUAACACCCAAGGGCGUUUACGAGGUGAACAACAAGGAGGCGUCUGUCGGCCUCUCUGGGGACAUAGUCAUAUGAGGUCAUGCACCACGCUCCCGAGCUGUUUGAUUGGGACGUGACCUAGAGCAGGGAUAAGCUUUCAUUAACGUGGACAGCUGCAGACGCAGGCCCCUCCCAUAGAAAGAAUGGGGGAAGCCUGUCUGCUGUGGUCCUCGCUGAACCCAAUCCCGACGAAUCAACUUUUAAAACCAUAGAAACGGUUCACAGCCGUAUCAAUAUCAUGUACAACAACAGGUGGUACCCCUCCACACACACCCCGAUCAAGAGCUGUCUUUGCAGGCAGCAAUGCACACCCGAAUAAAGUAAACACUUAAAGUAAAAAAACAAUGGCAUGCAUUGAUAUGCAAUGGCUUUCUCGUGGCUUUCUUUUGCAAAAUAACUAUGAAUUAACAGACAUUUAAAUUGUCAACAUACACUGAGUACACCAAACAUUAGGAACACCUUCCUGAUAUUGAGUUGCACCCCCCCUUUUGUCCUCAGAAUAGCCUCAAUUCGUUUGGGCAUGGACGUUACAAGGUGUCGAAAGUGUUCCACAGGGAUUCUGGUCCAUGUUGACUCCAAUGCUUCACACAGUUGUGUCAAGUUGGCUGGAUGGCCUUUGGGUGGUGGACCAUUCUUGAACACGCGGGAAACUUGAAAACCCCAGCAGCGUUGCAGUUCUUGACACAAGCCGAUGCGCCUGGCACCUACUACCAUUCCCCAUUAAAGGCACUUAAAUCUUUUGUCUUGCCCAUUCAUCCUCUGAAUGGCACACAUACAUACUGGCUUACUGGUGCUCUUUCAUGCCAUCCCUAGGAGGGGUGCGUCACUUGAGUGGGUUGAGUCACUGACGUGAUCUUCCUGUCUGGGUUGGCGCACCCCCUUGGGUUGUGCCGUGGCGGAGAUCUUUGUGGGCUAUACUCGGCCUUGUCUCAGGAUGGUAAGUUGGUGGUUGAAGAUAUCACUCUAGUGGUGUGGGGGCUGUGCUUUAGCAAAGUGGGUGGGGUUCUAUCCUGCCUGUCUGGCCCUGUCCGGGGGUAUCAUCGGAUGGGGCCACAGUGUUCCUGACGCCUCCUGUCUCAGCCUUUGUGUCAGGGGGCUAGGGUCAGUUUGUUAUAUCUGGAGUACUUCUCCUGUCUUAUCCGGUGUCCUGUGUGAAUUUAAGUAUGCUCUCUCUAAUUCUCUCUUUCUUUCUCUCUCUCGGAGGACCUGAGCCCUAGGACCAUGCCUCAGGACUACCUGGCAUGAUGACUUCUUGCUUUCCCCAGUCCACCUGGCCCGGGCUGCUGCUCCAGUUUCAACUGUUCUUCCUGCGGCUAUGGAACCCUGACCUGUUCACCGGACGUGCUACCUGUCCCAGACCUGCUGUUUUCAACUCUCUAUAGAGACAGCAGGAGUGGUAGAGAUACUCUUAAUGAUCGGCUAUGAAAAGCCAACUGACAUUUACUCCUGAGGUGCUGACUUGCUGCACCCUCGACAACUACUGUGAUUAUUAUUAUUUGACCAUGCUGGUCAUUUAUGAACAUUUGAACAUCUUGGCCAUGUUCUGUUAUAAUCUCCACCCGGCACAGACAGAAGAGGACUAGCCACCCCUCAUAGCCUGGUUCCUCUCUAGGUUUCUUCCUAGGUUUUGGCCUUUCUUGGGAGUUUUUCCUAGCCACUGUGCUUCUACACCUGCAUUACUUGCUGUUUGGGGUUUUAGGCUGGGUUUUUGUACAGCACUUUGAGAUAUGAGCUGAUGUAAGAAGGGCUAUAUAAAUACAUUUGAUACACAAUCCAUGUCUCAAUUGUCUCAAGGAUUAAAAAUCCUUCUUUAACCGGUCU